CAGCCGCCGCGGGAAUACGUAGGGUGCAAGCGUUAAUCGGAAUUACUGGGCGUAAAGCGUGCGCAGGCGGUUUGUUAAGACAGAUGUGAAAUCCCCGGGCUCAACCUGGGAACUGCAUUUGUGACUGGCAAGCUAGAGUCUGGCAGAGGGGGGUGGAAUUCCGCGUGUAGCAGUGAAAUGCGUAGAUAUGCGGAGGAACACCGAUGGCGAAGGCAGCCCCCUGGGCCAACACUGACGCUCAUGCACGAAAGCGUGGGGAGCAAACAGGAUUAGAUACCCCAGUAGUCCCUGUCUCUUAUAC
rnacentral:rRNA from 1 species